UGGUCAAUUAGAGGAAGUAAAAGUCGUAACAAGGUCUCCGUUGGUGAACCAGCGGAGGGAUCAUUA
rnacentral:rRNA from 2 species